rnacentral:misc_RNA from 1 species
AGUUUCGUAGGUGAACCUGCGAAGGAUCAUUAAUAAAUUUUUUUUGAAAUAAAAAAAAAUAUAUCAUCCUACCCUGUGAAUUUGUUUGUGAAUAAUUUUUAAAAUUAUUUAUUGUCUAUCCAAGUUGGAAGUGUAAAAAGACUCGAAGACUUGGACGCAUAAAAAAUUUAAAGACUUUUUCUAAAAUUAAACUUUUUGUAUUCAUUUGUCUAAAAUAAUUUUAAUAUAUAAAACAACUUUUGACAAUGGAUCUCUUGUCUCGCAACGAUGAAACCAGCAAAAUGCGAUAAGUAAUGUGAAUUGCAGAAUACGUGAAUCAUCAAUCUUCGAACGCAUAUUGCACUUUUUAGUUUACUAAAAAAGUAUGUCUGUUGAGUAUCAGUAAAAUAUUCUCAUAAAAUUUUUAAUUUAUGUUAUGAGUGUUUUACAACGAUAAACAAGUUGUUUACUUUAAUUGAAUUUUUUUGAAGAAUUCUUUAAUUCAAAUUAAAUUUGGAUAAAUCUUCCCGCAAAAGGAAUAACUAUACAAGUUUAAUAAGAAUUAGUGAUUUCUUUAUGAAAGGAAUUUUAAAUAACUUGAUCUCAAAUCAAUAAGUACCCGCUGAACUUAAGCAUAUAAUAGCGGAGGAAAGAAACUAACAAGAUUCCCUAGUAACGGCGAGUGAAGCGGAAGAGCUCAAAUUUGAAAUUUAAAGGGUUCCUUUACGAAUUGUAGUUUAAAGAAGUGUUUCUGUUGAGGUUUUGGUAAAAGUUCUUUGGAAUAGACAUCAUAGAGGGUGAGAAUCCCGUAUUUGACUUUACUUUCAACUUUGUGAUACACUUUCAAAGAGUCGGAUGUUUGGGAAUGCAGUCAAAUGGUGGUAAUUUCAUCUAAGCUAAAUAUUGGCGAGAGACGAUAGCGACAAGUACGUGAGGAAAGAUGAAGAGAAUUUGAAAGAGAGUUAAACAGUACGUGAAAUUGUCAAAAGGGAAGCGUUUGACACCAGUGUGUUUUCUGAAAUCAAUUAAAGAACUGUUUAUGCUAAGUUGUUUAGACUUAUCAGCUAACUGUUUAGUUUUGAGCUUUUCUUUAAUGCACUUUUCAGUUAACAAGUCAACAUCAAUUUCUUUUGCUGUAAAAAGCUUGAGGAAGGUGGCUUGAGAUUCGUCUUAAGUGUUUAUAGCCUCUUGCUAUGCAGUCGGAGAGAUUGAGGUCUGCAGCGUAGAUCCUUCGGGCUAAAUGCAUUUGUGCUAAGUUAUAGCAUUUUAUAGACACUUGUUGACUAUGAUUUGUUUGUAGUUAUCGUUAUGCUAUUUUACCUACGCUUAGGAUGUU